rnacentral:rRNA from 1 species
GAUGUACGCUAGCGGCAGGCUUAACACAUGCAAGUCGAGGGGUAUAGUUCUUCGGAAUUAGAGACCGGCGCACGGGUGCGUAACGCGUAUGCAAUCUACCUUUCACAGAGGGAUAGCCCCAGAGAAAUUUGGAUUAAUACCUCAUAGUAUAGCAGUUUCGCAUGAAACCACUAUUAAAGUCACAACGGUGAAAGAUGAGCAUGCGUCCCAUUAGCUAGUUGGUAAGGUAACGGCUUACCAAGGCAACGAUGGGUAGGGGGUCCUGAGAGGGAGAUCCCCCACACUGGUACUGAGACACGGACCAGACUCCUACGGGAGGCAGCAGUGAGGAAUAUUGGACAAUGGGCGGCAAGCCUGAUCCAGCCAUGCCGCGUGCAGGAUGACGGUCCUAUGGAUUGUAAACUGCUUUAUACAGGAAGAAACACUACUUCGUGAAGUAGCUUGACGGUACUGUAAGAAUAAGGAUCGGCUAACUCCGUGCCAGCACG